CAGUACUCUUGUGACACCAAGCUCACUUGUUUUAAUGCAGGUGUGGCUGGGCCUGCAGAAAAGCUGUAAGCAGACUGCAGUGUUGCUGAUCAGUGCUGAUCUCCACGUCCGAGUUGGUCCCACAACAUCCAAGCACCACGGUGCUUUCACAAGAGGCAUACGAGCACUUUGUGUCAAAAACGCCGAGCACUGUGGAUACAGAGGCAAGGAGGCUGAAGGACCUGAACAAGCACCUGGCCACCAUGCUUCGGGAUGCAAAAUAAAGAUGGUUUGUGUUAA